rnacentral:rRNA from 1 species
GACGAACGCUGGCGGCGUGCUUAACACAUGCAAGUCGAGCGGUAAGGCCCUUUCGGGGUACGACGAGCGGCGAACGGGUGAGUAACACGUGGGUGACCUGCCCUCAGCUCUGGGAUAAGCCCGGGAAACUGGGUCUAAUACCGGAUAUGACUUCAUGACGCAUGUUGUGGAGUGGAAAGCCUUGUGCGGCUGAGGAUGGGCCCGCGGCCUAUCAGCUUGUUGGUGGGGUGANGGCCUACCAAGGCGACGACGGGUAGCCGGCCUGAGAGGGCGACCGGCCACACUGGGACUGAGAUACGGCCCAGACUCCUACGGGAGGCAGCAGUGGGGAAUCUUGCGC